rnacentral:snRNA from 1 species
UACGAACCGUGAAAGCGUGGCC